CAAACAUAAAUUUAGCAAAAACAAAAAACGGUUUUGUAUCUCUGAAAACAUAGAUUUUCUUCAAUGGUCACUAAUUGUGAUUUCUUAUUAUUGUGAUUGAUAUUACAAUUUAUUUAUAUAAUGCUAUCUUAUUUAUUUAACCAGGCUAGUCAGUUAAGAACACAUUCUUAUUUACAAUGACUGCCUACCCCAGCAAAACCCAGUUGACACUGGGCCAAUUGUGCGCAUCCCUAUGGGACUCCCAAUCACAGUCUGGAAUCAAACCAGGAUCUAUAAUUACGUCCCUAGCACUGAGAUGCAGUGCCUUAGACUGUUGCGCCACUUGGGAGCCCUAAAUAUUUAAAUAUAGAUAUUUCAGAAUAUCAAAUGUAACAUAGAAAUGAUUAUUACAUGCUGAGUUCUGUAAUAAUAUAUAUGCUCCACAGUUAGUGCAACGAUCUGUAAUCUCACUGAGGAGAGUAGAGAUCAUCAAUGUUAUGCGGCUCUGGGAGAAUCUAUGUCAUUCCACCUGACUGCAAGCACAAGUGAUGAAAAAAUUACAUUGAAGAAAGGUGCUAAACGUAUUCUGAACUUCCAAACUGGAGAAGACUGGAGAUCUAAAUUGCAUCAGGAUUAUGUGAAUCGUUCUGAGUUCUUUAAUAAUGGAACAUUCAGACUGGACAGAGUUACAGAGGAAGACUCUGGAGAUUACCAAUUGGAAACAUAUAAUUCAGAGGGAGUAGUGUUGCACAAAGUCAACAUGCUACUUGAGAUAAAAGCCCCGGUGUCAGAGCCAGUGUUGUCUCACCUCUGUCUGCCUCAUGGAGAAACCGUGCUCACAUGCUCCUCAGAGGGAGAUGGUCUUCAGUACAGCUGGACCCUGAAUGGCCAGAAUCUGACCAGGAGUGUAGCCUCUGACCACCACCAGAACAGUGUCAUCAUACUGAAGAGUGAUGUGACAGGAACUCUGACCUGUAUGGUUCAGAAUAAAGUCAGCAGCAGCAACUCUACUAUUCAUCUUCCGGCCUGCCAAGCUUUGUAUGAAUUUUGCAUGAAAAAGUGACCACAAGAUCAAUGUUUUGACAAGAAGCACGUUUUGAGAUUGUGGAAAUUACUUUAAGUACUGUAUCAGAUGACUUUCAAAAUAGCAUAAGUAUGACUUUUUCUAAAUAUUUAAUUUAGGUGAUAUUUUGCAGCAUCGUACCUUUUUAAUUGAACUUUUUUAUAUAGAUGACUCAUAUCUGAUGUACUACACGGAAAUAAAUACUGUU
rnacentral:lncRNA from 13 species